AUUGUAAUCUCGAGAAGUGUUUUCCGCGUUGGCCUGUGUACAAGUCCCUUGGAACAGGGCGUCAUAGAGGGUGAGAAUCCCGUCCUUGACACAGACACCCAAUGCUUUGUGAUACACUCUCAAUGAGUCGAGUUGUUUGGGAAUGCAGCUCAAAAUGGGUGGUAAAUUCCAUCUAAAGCUAAAUACUGGCGAGAGACCGAUAGCGAACAAGUACCGUGAGGGAAAGAUGAAAAGCACUUUGGAAAGAGAGUCAAACAGUACGUGAAAUUGUUGAAAGGGAAACGAUUGAAGUCAGUCGUGCCUGCCUAGAUUCAGCCUUCUGGUGUAUUUCUAGGUCGGCAGGUCAGCAUCAGUUUGGGGGGGUUAACAAGGGAGCUGGGAAUGUGGCAACCUCGGUUGUGUUAUAGCCCAGUUUCGCAUUGAUCUCGCUGGACUGAGGAACGCAGUGCGCCCGCAAGGGUUGGUCUUCGGACACAUUCGCACUUAGGAUGCUGGCAUAAUGGCUUUAAACGACCCGUCUUGA
rnacentral:rRNA from 1 species